CAUCGAGGCCAAGCAUUAUUCCGAUCAGCAGAUUAUAAUGAUUGAGUGUAUGCGUUCGUCAUGGGACACAAGGCUUGUCACGGUAAAUGUGAAAUUGAUGCGAAAUCUCUUCCUUAUGAUGAAUGUUACAGAGAUAGAAAUCGACCUGCGCGGCGGUACCUAUAAAAUGAUGAUGAACUCCCAGAAACCAGUGAAAUACAGAAGACAGUGAGCUGGUGGAAGUCACAGAAGAAAACACUGGUAUACAAAGGCUUUAACUUACAUGCAGACCGAAGGAAAAGAAAAUGACAGAGGAGCAAAAACUCUUUUAAAAUGAC